AGAACAAUGGAUGGCGGCCAUUUUAACUCACAGACACUGUUUGGACUUUUCAACAUGGUGCCAUCUUGCCAGUAUUUGGUGCACAGAGACAUCGUGCAGUGGUUUUGGACUAUACAGCAGGGGACACAUUAUAAAGUGAUUGUUUUUCAUUUAGCCUGUAUAUGUUCUGCAGAAUCUGCAUUAAACUGUAUUUUCCAAAGUACUGAACGGAUCUGGGUGAAUUUUGGAUAUGUGGUUCACCCAGAUCCCCCGGUUCCAAGGAUAUACUUGGGGUUAUUGCAUGUUUUGGGGUCCCUGUGUGUUUUAUGAAACUGUAUUAUUU